UGACCGCUGGCGGCGUGCCUAAUACAUGCAAGUCGAGCGAACAGAUGAGGAGCUUGCUCCUCUGACGUUAGCGGCGGACGGGUGAGUAACACGUGGAUAACCUACCUAUAAGACUGGGAUAACUUCGGGAAACCGGAGCUAAUACCGGAUAAUAUAUUGAACCGCAUGGUUCAAUAGUGAAAGACGGUUUUGCUGUCACUUAUAGAUGGAUCCGCGCCGCAUUAGCUAGUUGGUAAGGUAACGGCUUACCAAGGCAACGAUGCGUAGCCGACCUGAGAGGGUGAUCGGCCACACUGGAACUGAGACACGGUCCAGACUCCUACGGGAGGCAGCAGUAGGGAAUCUUCCGCAAUGGGCGAAAGCUUGACGGAGCAACGCCGCGUGAGUGAUGAAGGUCUUCGGAUCGUAAAACUCUGUUAUUAGGGAAGAACAAAUGUGUAAGUAACUAUGCACGUCUUGACGGUACCUAAUCAGAAAGCCACGGCUAACUACGUG
rnacentral:rRNA from 1 species